rnacentral:misc_RNA from 1 species
AGGAUGCAUCAUGUGGCCACAACUGUUGAUGCCUUUCACCCUUCAGAGAAUCACAAGAGAAAUGGAUGGAUCCGAUCGGCAUUCUUUACCAACUCUCCAAAAAACUUCCCAGCGAUUCGCCGAACCUUCCGAUUUGGAAAGAUCGCUUCUCGACCCCUAUG